CCGGGAGUGUGGGAUUUGGGGAGGGUCAAGGUCACAGAAGCCGGGCGGACGUUCCGGAGCUGCGCCCCAGCCACAGUCCCCGGCACGCACGCCGCGACUCCGGGUUCUGACUCCCACGUCUUCGGCUCGCCGGGCCCCCAGAAUGACGAACCGACGAAUGAAUGGCUGAGAGAGAAAGGCAGGGGAAGCCCGGGCCCGGCGCGCCGCCCUCCGCGAGCGCGUUCUGCAGCCCCGGCCCCGCGCCGCUCCCGCCCGGGGAAAGCAGCCCGGUCCCCGCCCGCGCUCACCCCGCGUGUCCCGCGGAGUAGAGGCGCCGCCGCGGCCGGGCUCCACGCCGCCAUGCCCGGCCGACGCGCCCGCCGCCCGAGUCGCCGCUGUGGGUCCUAAAAGGCGCGGAGCCCCGGGACCAGAGCCGCCGCCGCCGCCGCCGCCGGCGAGGCCGCCCCCUGCCGUCCGGAGGCCGCGAGUCGCCCGGCCCGCUCAGGGCCCCCCUCAGCCCCAGCUCACACCCCGGGGCUUCUGUUGCCUCCCAGGCCUCGGUCCGGGCGGGUCCUUCCUCCUCCGCCUGGAAGCCGGUCCGAGAUACUCAACCCAGGCCCUAGAUGGAACGCCUCCCAUUCCCACUCCACACGCGGCAACCGGCUGCUCAACUGAGGCGCCUGGCUUUCUCCCUCCAGGAGGGAGCCAGGGAAGAACCUUAAGGAGGGGAGUCGUUUUCAGAUUUGCAUGUUAGAAAGAUCACUCUGGCUCCUGCGAUAAGCGGAGACAGCAGGGAGCUGAAAACUGGAGAUGAGGACUGAAGUCCCGAGACUACUGCAAUGGUCCAGGUGAGACUUGAAGCCGGAACUGAAGGAAUGACGCCAAGGAUAGGAGUGGAUUGAGACACCUGGGAGGUGAAUGGACUGGCGUGACCGCAUUGGCGGGUGAGGGGAUGAAGGUGUCAGGGAUGACUCUCGGCUUUCCGGCUUGGACAGUGAAAUUGGGAGAGGCAGGCUAGGUUUGGAGUGAAGGGGGUUCACUCACUCCGUUUUGGAUUUGCCUGAACUUAAGACGUCUGCAGGACAUGGCCGAGCAGAGGCGGAGGCUGGAGCCACAGACCUUGGAGUCUUGAGAAUGCAGUGGAAACUGACACCAUCAGGGACAGGUAAGGUUGUGGGCAAACCUGUCCUGCCUCUGGAAUACUUUAGACAGUUGUCAAAGCCAGAAUUCAACCAAGCCUUUUCUUUGGCAGCAUUUGUUUGCAGCAUGUGGUCUAGUAUACCCUGAAGCAUGUACCAGCUCUUUUUGCUAUUGCAUUCUGGACUAUAAAAUCAGUAUGUUCAGUGUUGCACUUGGAUGGGUUGUGUAAGCAAAUACAGUAGAAGAGAAUCAAGCAUGGCUUUGUCAAGCAAAAGAUAAGCCAUUUCUGGCCCAGGUCAUUUUGUGAUCUAAGCCUGGCCACAACGCUUGCCUCGAAACAGGUCUCAGUAAUUAAUGGUCUUAAGGAAACAAAAGAAUGCAGGAACAAAUGACUGUUACCAGGCAAGAGAAGUAACAAUGGCAAAGAUAAUAACUGUUGGUAAAGAUUAGCCUGGAUUAUGCUCUGGAGGUGUUUUGCAGAAUUCAAGCCCCUCACCCUCACCCUGCCCCGCUCCAGCAGUCAGUCACAAGAUCAGCUGGACUUAAGGAAUGAUGGUUUUGACCUUUCUUGAGCCUCGUGACUCCAAUCAACUAAAACUUGGACUCUGUCAACCUUUGCCCCAAUUCUAGACUGAGUUCUGAUCUGCUCCACCCCCACAUGAAUGUGCAUGUACCCUUGGCUUAAAAAUUCCUCAAUUUUACUGUUCCAGGAGACACUGCUUUGGGAAAUAUCCCCAGUGUUUUCUUACUUGCUGUAAUAAAUCCUUCCUUCUCCUGC